GACAGAGGUCCCGAGCGUUAGGCGGAAUCACUGGGCUUAAAGCGUGUGUAGGCGGAUCGUUAAGUGCCUUGUGAAAUCCCACGGCUUAACCGUGGAACUGCUUGGCAUACUGGCGAUCUUGAGCCACUUAGGGGCAACCGGAACAAAUGGUGGAGCGGUGAAAUGCGUAGAUAUCGUAAGGAAGACCAGUGGCGAAGGCGGGUCUCUGGACAGUUCCUGACGCUGAGGCACGAAGGCCAGGGGAGCAAACGGG
rnacentral:rRNA from 1 species